UUGAUUGUGUGAUCAUGUUUCAGGGAUGAACGCUAGCGUCAGGCUUUAACACAUGCAAGUCGAGGGGUAGAGGAUGCUUGCUUCGUGGAGACAGGCGCACGGGAGCGUAACGCGUCUGCAACAUACCUGUUACAGAGGGAUAGCCCAGAGAAAUUUGGAUUAAUACCUCAUGAUAUAUAUCAUUCGCAUGUUUGAUAUAUUAAAGUUCCAACGGUAAAAGAUGGGCAUGCGUCUUAUUAGCUAGAUGGUAAGGUAACGGCUUACCAUGGCAACGAUAGGUAGGGGUCAUGAGAGGGAGAUCCCCCACAAUGGUACUGAGACACGGACCAGAGUCCUACGGGAGGCAGCAGUGAGGAAUAUUGGACAAUGGGCGCAAGCCUGAUCCAGCCAUGCCGCGUGCAGGAAGAAGCAUAUAUGGUGUGUAAACUGGUUUUGUACGGGAAGAAACACUCCUUCGUGAAGGAGCUUGACGGUACCGUAAGAAUAAGGAUCGGCUAACUCCGUGCCAGCAGCCGCGGUAAUACGGAGGAUCCAAGCGUUAUCCGGAAUCAUUGGGUUUAAAGGGUCCGUAGGCGGUUAGGUAAGUCAGUGGUGAAAGCCCGCAGCUCAACUGUGGAACGGCCAUUGAUCCUGCCAGACUUGAAUUACAAGGAAGUAACUAGAAUAUGUAGUGUAGCGGUGAAAUGCUUAGAUAUUACAUGGAAUACCAAUUGGGAAGGCAGGUUACUACUUGUGGAUUGACGCUGAUGGACGAAAGCGUGGGGAGCGAACAGGAUUAGAUACCUUGGUAGUCCACGCCGUAAACGAUGGAUACUAGCUGUCGGGGGCAACUUCAGUGGCUAAGCGAAAGUGAUAAGUUACC
rnacentral:rRNA from 1 species